GAACAUAUUAUUUGAAAUAGUUCGUCUCUCUUCCUUCCUGGCUAUGUUCCACUGGACUCUGUUCAAGCAUGACAACACCAUGACGGUGUUAUUUUAUAUUCCAUUGCAGUUACAAUCACUUUAGAAACUCCUCUUCUUAUGGACAUUGGUAAACUGAGGGAAAAUAUCAUUCAUGCACCUGGAAAAAGAAGAGGAAUGUGCAUACAAGAGAGUGCCAGCAGAGAACAUGAGUAUACUACCACCAUCACGCUUAGGUCCUCUGUGGUGCAGCUACUCUAACCAGCCAGAACCCAACUGGCGACCACCCAGAUCACCCAGAGGACCUUUUCAUCGGCUGCCCCAAGACUGUGGAAUGACCUGCUGGAAGCUCUCCAACAGCUAAAUGAGCUGUUGGAAUUUGAAACUCAUCUAAAGACCUAUUUCUUCUGGCAGGCCUACUCAGCCAGUUUUAAUCAUGAAUUUUAAACGUGUGUCCUGUGUUUUAAUCUUUGUUCUGUGUAUUUUAAUAUGUGUUUUAUAGAAAUACAUUUUAAUAUGUAUAUUUUAUAGAAAUACAUUUUAAUAUAUGUAUUUAUAGAAUCUUUACGAUGAUUAUGUGCCAGAGCUAAGAGGGGGCCAUGAAGAGACUUCCAUCUUGUCUUUUUACAUCAGCUGAGGCCCCUCCCACCAUCUCCAACUGACGCUCGGGUGCCGGAGCUAAGAGGGGGCCAUGAAGAGACUUCCAUCUUGUCUUUUUACAUCAGCUGAGGCCCCUCCCACCAUCUCCAACUGACGCUCGGGUGCCGGAGCUAAGAGGGGGCCAUGAAGAGACUUCCAUCUUGUCUUUUUACAUCAGCUAGAGGCCCCUAUCCACAAUAACAUGCUAUGCUAGUUUUAUAUCUGGAGCAGAAUGAAGGGGCCGGGAAGACAUCUUUCCACCAUGUCUCCUGUAUCAAUUUAAUGAUAUAAUGAUAUAUAAUAAUAUUAUACUACACUAAUAUUAUAAUACAUUGUAUAUACAU
rnacentral:lncRNA from 11 species